AGCGAACGCUGGCGGCAGGCCUAACACAUGCAAGUCGAACGAACCUUUCGGGGUUAGUGGCGGACGGGUGAGUAACACGUGGGAACGUGCCUUUAGGUUCGGAAUAACUCAGGGAAACUUGUGCUAAUACCGAAUGUGCCCUUCGGGGGAAAGAUUUAUCGCCUUUAGAGCGGCCCGCGUCUGAUUAGCUAGUUGGUUGAGGUAAUGGCUCACCAAGGCGACGAUCAGUAGCUGGUCUGAGAGGAUGAUCAGCCACAUUGGGACUGAGACACGGCCCAAACUCCUACGGGAGGCAGCAGUGGGGAAUCUUGCGCAAUGGGCGAAAGCCUGACGCAGCCAUGCCGCGUGAAUGAUGAAGGUCUUAGGAUUGUAAAAUUCUUUUACCCGGGACGAUAAUGACGGUACCAGGAGAAGAAGCCCCGGCUAACUUCGUG
rnacentral:rRNA from 1 species